rnacentral:rRNA from 1 species
UCUCUUACAGGCAAUCGGUAAAUUGAUCUCCCUGUGCAAAAGCAGGGAUAACCCCAUAAGACGAGAAGACCCUGUGGAACUUCAAAAUCAGCAGCCACCCUAAACUACAUUCCACACCCACUGGGUUCACACCUACCAAAGCGCUGGCCUGCACUUUUUCGGUUGGGGCGACCUUGGAGAAAAACAGAUCCUCCAAAAAUUAGACCACACCUCUAGACUGAGAGCAACCCCUCAACGUGCUAAUAGCAACCAGAUCCAAUAUAAUUGAUCAAUGGACCAAGCUACCCCAGGGAUAACAGCGCAAUCUCCUCCGAGAGUCCGUAUCGACGAGGAGGUUUACGACCUCGAUGUUGGAUCAGGACAUCCUAGUGGCUG